UUUCCGUAGGUGAACCUGCGGAAGGAUCAUUGAUUCAAUCGUACCCACUCCGGUAACAACCCCAUUGUCGGUCCCUUGCUGGAGGCCCUCCGGCACCGCCUGCACCCUGCCCCCGGCCGCCUCUCCACAGAGGCGCCGGUGGCAAUGCAGGGGCCGGCGAGGGCACGCCGGGCCAGGCCUCGCGCCUGCCCCAGCACCUCGCUGGCCGGCCAGUUUACCCCAUUCCAAACCAAACCUGAAGGCUGAGGCCGCUGCCAUGUGCACGGCCGACUAACACAAACAACUCUCAACAACGGAUAUCUUGGCUCCC
rnacentral:misc_RNA from 1 species